UACGGAGGGGGCGAGCGUUAUUCGGAAUUAUUGGGCGUAAAGGGCGCGUAGGCGGCUGUACAAGUCAAAGGUGAAAUCCCUCGGCUCAACUGAGGAACUGCCUUUGAAACUGUACGGCUUGAGGCCGGGAGGGGGUAGCGGAAUUCCCAGUGUAGCGGUGAAAUGCGUAGAUACUGGGAGGAGCACCAGUGGCGAAGGCGGCUACCUGGGCCGGUGCUGACGCUGAGGCGCGAAGGCGUGGGGAGCGAACAGG
rnacentral:rRNA from 1 species